rnacentral:lncRNA from 1 species
CUGUCUUUUAUAAUAUUUUGAUGAAUUUUCUUCUGAAGUAGAUCGAUUAUGUUUUAUGUUCGGUUUACCACUUUACCUUGAAUUAUCAAAUUCAAUACGUUGCUGUAUUUGUUCAGUAUUGGAGUCACUGAUAUGUAUAGCUAGGUUUAAUGUAUUAGAUGUCUGAAUUUGUUAUUAUGAUGUAUUUUAUAUUCUCCAAGAAAAAUUUAGUCUUCAUUGUAUACACUGAUUAGGUUCGAACAGAGAAACUUAGCUAUUGGUCUUUUACAUAUUAGUUAACAUGUACUAGGAAUUAGGCGUCUGAUGUUUUUGUUAAUUAAUUUAAAAUUUAUUCAAUCAUAUGGGAAUUAGGCAUCUGUUGAUUAAUUUAAUGUUUUUUAUAACGUUUCCUGGUCAAUUAGUGAACUUUGUGAUCAUAUCUAAGGAUGGUCUUUAUGGUUAAUUUCAGCGUUUUAAGUUGUUUUGGAUUCUCUGUUUUUAUAGUUUAAUUUAUCAUUGAAGCUUUACUGAGAAUCAGAUUUUAUGAGUGGCAAACUACUUUAUUUUGUAUGGUAUUUUAACCCAAAGCCAUGUUAUUAUUCAGAAAUUGUCUUAUUGUGUAUAAUUUGGUAUAGCAAUUACUUAUGUUUUUUUGAAGUAUGUUUAUUUCAGAUAAUUCAGUUGGGAGUAUUGGAGGGGUGGUUUAUUUUGAUGGCAGUGAUAAUUAUUCUGUGUUUACUGUAUAUUGAGCAGUUUCCUUCAAUCAAUGCUAAUCCUCGUUAAUGUUUUUACUUUGUGGCACAUGUGGUCUGCUAAUUUUUAUUCUGGAAAUUAAUAUUUUAUUGAAUCAUGUCAGGCUUUAGAUAAGAUUCGCUUUGAGAGUUUGACUGAUAAGAGCAAGCUAGAUUCCCAACCAGAGCUCUUCAUCCACAUUAUUCCGGACAAAACCAACAAUACCUUGACCAUUGUUGAUAGUGGAAUUGGCAUGACCAAGGCCGGUAAGUAGUGACAUUAAACAAUCUUGAGCUUAAAAGUCAGUUUUUUUGUAUGGAAUUGUAUUGCUCAUGAGUCAUUUUUAAAUUUGCAGAUUUGGUAAACAAUUUGGGUACCAUUGCAAGGUCUGGCACUAAAGAGUUCAUGGAAGCUCUUGCUGCUGGAGCUGAUGUCAGCAUGAUUGGACAGUUUGGUGUUGGUUUCUAUUCUGCUUACUUGGUCGCUGAGAAAGUCAUUGUAACCACAAAGCAC